rnacentral:lncRNA from 1 species
UGGAAUCAUGUUGGUACAAAAUCAGGUUGAGAAGCUGCAGGGGAAAGUAACUAAAAAUAAUUUUAAAAUGAUAAAAUCUAAACUCUUAAAAUUGUAUGUAAAAACUUACAGAUGUAUAUAGUUUCUACUUCUAUGUAUAGGUGAGGGAUGGCUCUAAGUACAAGUCUGAAUCCUCAUUGUUUCCUGCAUCAACAAUAACCGGAUUCAAGUCUGAAUCUGAAUCCUCAUUAAAAAAGCAUUGUAACAUGUGAUGAAUGUUGUGAACAAGUAAACAAAUAACUUUAUACCUCAACAUUUGGUUGUCAGCAUCUGAUGCAUACCACAUUUGCAAUUUGAAGUCUAUAAAAAAUAUGGAAAGGCUUUUCAUUAUUACCCUAUUAGACAUCUUGCAUGUAUAUUAAUAUUAAGUAAUUAACAUUGGGGAUUCAAUAUGUGUUGAUAAAUGUGGCAGAUUAUGUGACCCUAAUAACAACCGAUGAUGACAAUGUUGUUGUUAGCCACAAUUGGUUAUUCACAAAAAGAGAUUUGAGAAAGACAUUCAUGAUCUGAUCUGAUAAAAUUGGUAAUUCAUAAGAACACAUUCUGAAACAAGCGUACCAGACACGCUAAAUCAGAUUUUACAGAGAAAAAAAUCAAUAAAAAGAUAGAGGAGAAAACCCUAACGAGACGAUCAACAAAACUAUGUAGUUUCCUUAUGUUUUUAAGUUGCAAUACAACUUGUGCAAUUAGAAAACCAGAGUUUAUUGAAAAAAAAAACGCAACUACGCUUCGAUUUUUCUUUUCUCCAUACAUACAGAGGAGAUUACAACAUCUGAAAUACAGAAAACCCUAGAGAAGUAAAAUAAAAGGGAAAAGAGAAAAAUGAUAAGAAUGAAAACUUACAGACAACUUCUUAGGAAUACCGACAUGGUUGUGACUUAUGAGUUGUGAGUGUCCUACGAAGGGUGGGGGUGCUUGUGUCUCCGGUGAGCUGAGUUGAGUUACAGAGGUUGCGACGAGUCGUCUCCGACGGUGUUUGGAGAGCGGAGCGGGAUGAUUGAAGUGAAGUGAAGAAGGAAGAGUGGAGAACGUAACGUAUAUUUUAUGCGCCAAUACACCGACCCAAACUUUUGGCUUCCCAAUUCCAACGGUCUUUUAUAAAACCUUUCCAAGAUUAAAACCAUUUACACGUCUCCAG